rnacentral:rRNA from 1 species
UACAGAGGUCUCAAGCGUUGUUCGGAUUCAUUGGGCGUAAAGGGCGCGUAGGUGGCCCGGUCAGUUCGUGGUGAAAGCGCGGGGCUCAACCCUGCGUCGGCCAUGAAUACUGCCGCGGCUGGAGCACUGUAGAGGCAGGCGGAAUUCCGGGGUGUAGCGGUGGAAUGCGUAGAGAUCCGGAAGAACACCGGUGGCGAAGGCGGCCUGCUGGGCAGUUGCUGGACACUGAGGCGCGACAGCGUGGGGAGCAAACAGGG